ensembl:lncRNA LINC03062 long intergenic non-protein coding RNA 3062
AUUCAAAGAGCAGCUGCUGGUCUCCGCCCCUCUGUCUUUCCUUUCUCCUCCCGGUGGCUUCCCUGUUCCUGUCCCUGGCUUUCCUGGCUUUUUGGAUCCCCAUCCUGGCUCUGGGGGGAAGGAGGAUGGGUCUGGAGCACCUGUGAGACCCGAGCCUGGGCCCACCACAGCAGAGGAUGCAGCCUCCCAACCCCAAGAGUCCCAGAUUGGAGUCCCUGAGAGAAGCUGGGCCCCGUUUAACCGGACAGAGGAUGACUUUCUUCUCUGGAGUGCUCUGGGUCACGCUUGGGGACACAUGAAGGAUACGCCCUCCCUUUCAGGCUCCCAUCGCACGUUGAACCUGGCUUGUGAACACAGCCCUCUGGGACACUACUAGGAACAAAGUGUUCCGGAUGCUGCAGAAGCUCAGCUGCCACCUGGAAAACCUGUUUGGCCACUUUAGGUCCAGAUGACGGGAGCCAGUCCGGCUCAGGAGAACAGAGCUGGCCCAGUAACACCUCGCUUCCUCCCUGCUGCAGAGACCUGGGAGGGCCCUGCCCAGCACAGCACACUGGAGUGGCCCUGCGGCAGCAUCUGGGCUGCUGUACCCAUGGUGCCUCCCAGCCCGAGGGGCUCCCGGCAGCUCUGGAGACUCCUGCUGUCACGUCACCUGGCCCCUCACCAUCACCAUCCUCAUCUCUCUUGGGAAUUAAGACAUUGAAGGAACUGCUGCUGCCAGCAAGAGAGGCUGUUGCAAGAAAGAAAGGCUGCUGCAAGAAACGCAAGAAAGGCUGCUGCCAGCAUUGCAUUUCUGUCAAGAAGCUGCCCCGCAAAAUUUAUGGAUGUAUCGCUGUAUGCACCUAAUAGCAAGCUCUACUGGAUGAAUGGCUUAUAAAGAUCUCCCCUGAAUAAAAUUGUGGUUUUUAACUUUAGAAGAACAAUGUCAAUUCUCUCUGCAUCCUUUAUGGGAGCCUCAGCAUGUGUUCAGCACUGGUAUUUAUUCUAUAUGACUGCUUGUUAAGCAACAGGCUGAAUUAAAAUGGGAAAGCUCACCGAGGAGUUUUCUUGAAAUACUGCUUUUCUAGCAAGGAGAACAUAGAAGAUGGUGAGGCAGCCGCAGCUGGAGUGCUGACUGCCCAGAAGCAGAGGGGCAAAAUGCACUCCAGUAUGGAUUUUGGUCAUUGAGGCCUUGCUGAGAGCAUGCCCCAGGCUGGGUUCACUUUUGCCUGAAGGGGCUGCAGCAGAAUGAAAACUCAACUGUGCAAAACAAAACACUCAAAUUUUAAAAAGCACAAGAUUCUGCUGGGAUCAUCUGGCAGCAGGGGCAGCAGGAAAGACGUAAUAGAGAUUUCAAAGCAGGCUGAGGAGGAGGACAGGGCAUUCCAGCCUCUGUGGUUCAGCAAUCUCACCACUCCACAACCGACGGUGGCUUUCCAGCACAGAUCUUCACGGAUUGCAGCAUUCAGGACCUGAGUCCAUGCCCAUGCAGAGGCCCAUUGCAGUGUUUGCUUAGCAUAGCUGCAUUUCCAGAAUGUAGGCAGGAGAAGCUGUAAAAGAUUCUCACCCUGCCAUGCACACUGAUGGCUCACAUUCUAAAGAGUCAGGAGUCAUUUUGGAUUUGGGCUGACCUGGUAGACUUCUGAAAGACAGUGCUCUGGGUUCAAGUUGUCCUCAGGGCUGGAUGAUCCAUAGCAAAUAUCCCCUGAUGGAUAAGCAUUGUGCUGAGAGACUUGCCUCCAUCAGCUGUGUAAACCUCAGGAUGACCUGCACACAGGUAUACUAAGGCACACAGAGACCAGCUCGUAGUCAGUGACAAGUAACUUGCCAAGAGCUGUGGUUUAAAAGCAUGUCUGCAAAUUCUUGGACACUCUUGUCAUCCAGAAAUAGAGUCUAACCCUCCUCCCUUGAAUACGGGCUGGCUUCAGUGGUGGAAAUGACAAUGUGUGAGUUUGAGGUUUGAUUAGAAAAGAUGACACAGCCUCUGCCUGACUCUCAAGGCCCUUGUUCUUGGACAUUAGCUGCCAUGCUGGGAGGAAGCCCAGCAGCCACACAGAGAGGCCACGACAGCCGAGGUCCCAGCCAAGCCAGCAUCAACUGCCCAACACGUCAAUGAGUGAUCCUGCAGAGCCUCCCAUCUCCUAGCCACCGCAGCUGAUGCUCUGAGAGCGGAGGCAAGCUGUCCUUGCUGGGCGCUGCUUAAACUGCAGAUGUAUGAACAAAAUAAAAAUGGUGGUUAUUUUAAGACACU